CAAUAGCGUAUAUUAAAGUUGUUGCAGUUAAAAAGCUCGUAGUUGGAUUUCUGGCAGGAGCGACCGGUCACACACUCUGUGUGUGAACUUGCGUUGUCUCUGGCCAUCCUUGGGAAGAUCCUGUUUGGCAUUAAGUUGUCGGGCAGGGGAUACCCAUCGUUUACUGUGAAAAAAUUAGAGUGUUUAAAGCAGGCUUAUGCCGUUGAAUAUAUUAGCAUGGAAUAAUAAGAUAGGACUUCGGAACUAUUUUGUUGGUUUGCGUUACGAAGUAAUGAUUAAUAGGGACAGUUGGGGGUAUUCGUAUUUCGUUGUCAGAGGUGAAAUUCUUGGAUUUCCGAAAGACGAACUACUGCGAAAGCAUUUACCAAGGAUGUUUNCAUUAA
rnacentral:rRNA from 1 species